UUCCGGUUGAUCCCGCCGGACCUGACUGCUAUCGGAUUGAUACUAAGCCAUGCGAGUCUUUGUAGUAAUACAAGGCAUACGGCUCAGUAACGCGUAGUCAACCUACCCUAUGGACAAGAAUAAUCUCGGGAAACUGAGCAUAAUUCUUGAUAGAUCAUAAUGCCUGGAAUGGUAUAUGGUUAAAAUGAUUCGUCGCCAUAGGAUGGGACUGCGGCCUAUCAGCUUGUUGGUGAGGUAAUGGCCCACCAAGGCGAUUACAGGUACGGGCUCUGAGAGGAGAAGCCCGGAGAUGGGUACUGAGACAAGGACCCAGGCCCUAUGGGGCGCAGCAGGCGAGAAAACUUUGCAAUGUGCGAAAGCACGACAAGGUUAGUCCGAGUGAUUUCUGCUAAAGAGAUCUUUUGCUAGUUAUAAAACCACUAGUGAAUAAGGGGUGGGCAAGUUCUGGUGUCAGCCGCCGCGGUAAAACCAGCACCUCAAGUGGUCAGGAUGAUUAUUGGGCCUAAAGCAUCCGUAGCCGGCUCUGUAAGUUUUCGGUUAAAUCUAUGCGCUCAACGUAUGGGCUGCCGAAAAUACUGCAGAGAUAGGGAGUGGGAGAGGUAGACGGUACUCGGUAGGAAGGGGUAAAAUCCUUUGAUCUAUCGAUGACCACCUGUGGCGAAGGCGGUCUACCAGAACACGUUCGACGGUGAGGGAUGAAAGCUGGGGGAGCAAACCGGAUUAGAUACCCGGGUAGUCCCAGCCGUAAACGAUGCAGACUCGAUGAUGCAUUGGCAUAUAGCCAGUGCAGUGUCGCAGGGAAGCCGUUAAGUCUGCCGCCUGGGAAGUACGUACGCAAGUAUGAAACUUAAAGGAAUUGGCGGGGGAGCACCACAAGGGGUGAAGCCUGCGGUUCAAUUGGAUUCAACGCCGGG
rnacentral:rRNA from 1 species